ACUAGCCAUGCAUGUAUAAGUAUAAACUGUUUUAUGGUGAAACUGCGAAUGGCUCAUUACAACGGUUAUAGUUUACUUGAGAGAUUUCUACUGGAUAACCGUAGUAAGUCUAGAGCUAAUACAUUCAAAAGGGAGCCUCACGGCGCUCUGUGUUUAUUAGAUGUUCCAACUAGAAUACUAGGAUGGGAAUCAUGAUAAAUUAACGAAUCGUGAAACGAUGCUUCAAACAAGUUUCUGUCCUAUCAACUCGAUGGUUGGGUAUUGGCCUACCAUGGUGAUAACGGGUAACGAGGAAUUAGGGUUCGAUUUCGGAGAGGGAGUCUGAGAAACGGCUACCACAUCUACGGACGGCAGCAGGCGCGCAAAUUACCCAAUGCAAAUAUGUGUGGGGUAGUGAAAAGAAAUAUCGGAGUUAAUCUCUUUCGGGGUUAGCUAUUGGAAUGAGUUAAAUUUAAACAUUUUCAUUCGACUGGAGGGCAAGUCUGGUGCCAGCAGCCGCGGUAAUUCCAGCUCCAGUAGCGUAUAUUAAAGUUGUUGCAGUUGAAACGCUCGUAGUCUGAAAUUAAUCCUUUCAUAGGAAGUACUGUUCACCCUAAUUACUCUGGUCGUUAGGUAGUGACGGUCAUUCACCUUGAUGAAUCUAGAGUGUUCAAGGCAGGCACAGCCUGAAUACUGCUGCAUGGAAUGAGAUUGAUAUUAUAUCUCUCUCGGUCGGAGAGAUCAAAGUAUCUUAAGGAACAGUCGAGGGCAUUCGUACUUGACCGUCAGAGGUGAAAUUCUAGGAUUGGUCAAUGACGAACAAAAGCGAAAGCAUCUGCCAAGGAUGUUUUCUUUGAUCAAGAACGAAGGUUAGGGGAUCAAAGACGAUCAGAUACCGUCGUAGUCCUGACUGUAAACUAUGCCGACUAGAGCUUAAUUGAAUAACAUAAAUUCAGUUAGGAUCUAGAGAGAAAUCAAAGUUUUUGGGUUCUGGGGGAAGUAUGGUCACAAGGCUGAAACUUGAAGGAAUUGACGGAAGGGCACCACCAGGCGUGGAGCUUGCGGCUUAAUUUGACCUAACGCGGGAAAACUUACCAGGUCAAAACGUGGUCAUGAUUGACAGGCUGAAAGUCCUUUCUUGAUUCCAUGGUUGGUGGUGCAUGGCCGUUCUUAGUUGGUGGACUGAUUUGUCAGGUUAAUUCCGGUAACGAACGAGACCUUGGCCUGCUAACUAGAUGAUUUACUUUUGUAUUUCUUCUUCUUAGAGGGACAAUGGUGGCUACAUCACUGAAGCUCGAGGUAAUAACAGGUCUGUUAUGCCCUUAGAUGUCCUGGGCCGCACGCGUGCUACACUGACGCAUUCAGAAAGUUAUCAAUCCGGAAGGAAAGAUUAAUCAUCAAUGUGCGUCAUGUAGGGACAGUUCCUUGUAAUUGUGGAGCUCGAACGAGGAAUGCCUAGUAAGUGCAAGUCAA
rnacentral:rRNA from 1 species